rnacentral:lncRNA from 1 species
GAGGCCCAGCUAGUUCCAGCAGUGUUUUGUUAGCCAUGGCUGUAGCUAGAGGAAUCACUGUGUAAUUUUGGUGCAAAAUAAGGCAACGUUUAUCUGAGGAGUAUUUUUGCCCUCUGAAUUUUAGGAAACUGGAAUUGUGCUAGUUAUACUCUUACUCUGUGGAGAACUCUAACUUUGUUCCUGAAGUUGAUCUCCAAAUCUUGUAAAAGCUCUGGGUAAGUAUCCAUCUUUUUAGAAGUUUUGAGUAAGCCUGUGCAGAGUUAAAGGACUUUAAAGGAAUGUUUAGGUCAGGGAACAAGACAUAUUUGUUUUGCUAUUUUUAAAAAAAAAAGCUUAACAAUUUAAAAUAGCAGAAACAGUAGAAACACUUUGAAGAAUAAAAUAGUCUUUAAAAAUGAAGUAAUUUUUACACAUAAGCAGUUUGGGUCUGGAGUUUUGUUCUUUAGAGGUAUUUGGUGUGGCUACAAAGUCAGUAUUUUAUUAGUAAAUAGACACAAGAAAAGUUCAUACAGUUCCUUCCUUUGGUAAGUCUACUUGUCUUGGGAAUAAGAAAUUUUACUCCCCUUUCAAAAUUCAUCUUUCUCAUUUAUUUGAUAGGUGCUGUUUAUUGAAUAUUCCUAAUAGAACAAAUAAAAUAAUGCUGUUGGGGUGUUUUGCAAUUUAUUACACCCACUUGACUCAAUUGGUUAUUUUUCUAUGAUGUUUAUUUAGAUUUGUAAAGUGUUACAUAGUAAGAAUUGGUAUGACCUGGUUUGCACUUUUCCUGAGGACUGGGGUUGGUGUAUAUGUAUGUAUGUAUGUAUGUGUGUGUGUGUGUGUGUGUGUUUUAUUGUAUGUGUAGAAUUAUCCUCAUUGAUAUCUUUUAUUUUAAACAAAACUAAACAAAUUAUACUUAAGUUCAGGCUCAAAGUUGACAUUAUGUUUCAGAGAGAAAUUUUUUUCUUACAUAUGUUGCAGAAAUGUUUGUUUGUAAUGACUCUUUGAGAAAGGGAUGUUUUAAGUUGUACCCUUACAUUUGAGAUAUGAAGUGUAAGAGGCAAAAAUGGAAUUUUAAACAUUAGAAACUAGCUUCUCAAUUGUUUUCCCCCUAAACUGGAAGUUAUGUAUGUAUUAUUAUAAAAUAAAUCUAAAAUGUAUCUUUACAAAUCUUAUGACAAAUCUAAUCAAUUAUAAAGUCACCAUCCUAAGAAAAACUUUUUCUUGCUCUUACAUUAUUUGAACAGAUUCUAUUUUUAGAGGGAAAGCCCAGACUAGAUGACAAUAUAACAUCAAUGAAGUUUGAGAAAAUAUUUGUAGACAUUAAUUAGUUUGGAUUAUAAAAGUAUUCCUAUAAAUAGUUGGUUUUUACAUUGACCUAUUUUUUAUUGCUUACUACAGAAAAUAAUGUAACAAUUUCUGUAAGCUUUUAAAGAACAGUUAAAGGAUCUAUGAUUCUUAAAAGUGAGCAUUUUUAGUUUUGCCAUGUGAAUAAAUGUGAUAGAGAAGAGUGAAGAGAUAAAACAUGCUGUUUGGACUGGAGAUCUAAAUUCAAAGCUUUCGUGGACUGGUGAGCUGUUAAGACAAAAUAAAGAUUUAUUAUUGCUCAGUCCAAAGAGAAAACUUAAAUGAUGUCUUUAAGUAUAGUGAUUAGUAGGGGAAAGAAGUUGUGUAUCAGUGGUCAUAGGCCAGGGCUUUUUCCCUACUAUUUCUUGAAUAUUAAGGGCAUCCAUGGUUUAGUGCCCAGCUCAAUUUCUAGGUAUAAAUAUGAUUUACAUGUAAAAUAUGGGGGCUCAAUGGAAGUAUACUUGUUUAGCAUGCAUGAGGCCCUGCAUUUGAUGCCUAGCAACUAAAAAAAAUUAAAAAAAAUUAGAAAAAAUAAAAAGCUUUUAGAAGUAAAAUAUAAAGUCCUUUAAAAGUCUUGUUUGUAGCACCUGCAAAAGGAAAAUAAUAUAUAAAAUUAUAUAAACAUUAUGACAGUACCUUUUUAGUGAAUUAUGCUUUUUUGGUGGUGGUGGGGACUGGGGAUUGAACUCAGGGGCACUCAACCACUGAGCCACAUCCCCAUCCCUAUUUUGUAUUUUAUUUAGAGACAGGACCUAGUGCCUUGCUUUUGCUGAGGCAGGCUUUGAACUCAUGAUCUUCCUGCCUCAUCCUUCCAAGCUGCUGGGAUUCCAGGUGUGCGUCACCAUACCUGGGGAAUUUUGCUUUUUUGUUGCAGCCAUUUAUGAUUUCUGUAACAUGUUUCAUUAAAAACAUAUGUGAAUACUUUUGAUACUUGGCUUUAUGGAAAUCUCUUUUUAGCAUUGAUUAGUCAGUCAGAAGAUUGAAAAUUGCAGGUAAAUAGUGUCAGUCCUUUCAAAUCAAUUUAUUUAUUGGAAGUUUUAAUUAGUUUAGGCAAAGUUCAGAUAGCCUCAUAGGCAGGAAGCCCAAUUGUCUAUGAAAUGAUGUUUCCACUUUGCAUUAAAUGAAAACAGUUCUCUCCUAGUCCUGGCACAUUGCUUUCGUCCUUUUCUUAGAGCCCCUGGAGAACAAGUAACUAUUGCUUCUUGCAGCAGCAUGGUGUGCCUGUGAGUCCUUGUCCUAGAUUUGUUACAGAAGGAUAUAGUAAUGUUUUCAAAACAUGAUCAUACAAUUCUCAAAUCAACAACAAUGAAUGCAUCAUAUGUUACUUUUAUAAAUAAGAUAGAUGUUAGGAAAUUAAACCACCUAUGGUGGAUGGCAUAAAGUAUUGUAAAAUAUCAAACGAUUCACUUUAAGAAUUUCUUUCUUUUUCUUUUUUCACCCACUAAUCACAAAGCAACUCAGUCUGGGUUUCUCAGGCUAUAUUUGCCUAGAGGAGUAGGACUAUGAAUAUGAAUACAUAAUUAUAAUCCUCCAUUCUGGAGGGCCCAAGCAGCACUUGCCUACCCCAGUGGUGGUCCCUGAUGCUCACCUUCCGUGUAAGUGUUCCAGCUGCACUACUGUCACUUCUGGCUCCUGGUGUUUAGGACCUCUGUCUCCUCUUCCCACUGAUUGCUGCUGUUGGGACAUGAAAGAAUGUCUUCAGGGAGUCUGUAUAGUCAUUGUCCUGGGGGCAGGCCAGGACUGCAGGCCCAGCUGGUCAAGUCCCAUUGGGUCUUUCUGCUAAUUAUAUCCAGAUUUUCCACUUUAAAAUUAUGACCUAGCUGGGCAUGGUGGAGCACACCUGUAAUCCCAGCAACUCAAGAAGCUGCGGCAGGAUUAUCACAAAUUUGGUAUCAGCCUCAGCAAUUUAGUGAGGUCUUAAGCAAUUUAGUGAGACCCUGUCUCAAAAUAAAAUAUAAAAAGGGCUGUGGAUGUGGCUUAGUGGUAAAGCAAUACUAGGUUCAAUCCACUUACCAAAUAAAUAAAUAAAUAAAUAAAUAAACUUAUCUGUAAUGAAAUUGAUGGUGCUCUUACCACAUUUUAGCACAAGGUGAGGGCUCAUUUAUGAGUUUUAUGAUCUUAAUACUAGUUACCUUGUUUAUACCUGAGGAUAAUAAUAGUAAGCAUCUCAUAGAAUUGUUAUGAAGACUAACUGAGAAAGAGGAGCAAGGCCCCAGUGAUCAUCUGCUUGCUCAGCACGUUGAAGAUAUUUAGUUAUAGCCCUCUGUUGCUGCUGAUUCUGUAAUCCCAACUUUGUUCUAUGACCCAAUCAGCUGUUUCUCUUGAGUUAGUUUCUGGAUUGAUAGUUUUUAAAAAAUGCUUCUGUUCAUAUAUUUGUUGAUUGAUUAUAUAUCCUCUUCUGAGAUGUGUCUGUUCAAGUCCUUGGCCCAUUUGUUGAUUGGGUUAUUUGUUGUUUUGGUACUUAGUUUAUUGAGUUCUUUAUAUAUCCUAGAGAUUAGUGCUCUGUCUAAUGUGUGAGGGGGUAAAAAUUUGCUCCCAGAAUGUAGGCUGUUUAUUCACCUCACAGAUUGUUUCUUUUGCUGAGAAGAAACUUUUUAGUUUGACUCCAUCCGAUUUAUUGAAUCUUGAUUUUAAUUCUUGUGCUAUAGGAGUCUUAUUAAGGAAGCUGGGGCCUAAUCCCACAUGAUGAAGAUUAGGGCCUACUUCUUCUAUUAAACGCAAAAUCUCUGGUGUUCAUCAUCUAUAGCAAUUAGAGAAAUGCAAAUCAAAACUACUUUAAGGGGCUGCGAUUAUGGCUCAGUGGUAACGCGCUUGCCUAGCAUGCGUGAGGCACUGGGUUCGAUUCUCAGCACUACAUACAAAUAAAUAAAAUAAAGGUUCAUCAACAACUAAAAAAAAAAAAAAAAACUACUCUAAGAUAUCAUCUCAUUCCAGUCAGAAUGGCAGCUAUUAUGAAGACAAACAACAAUAAGUGUUGGUGAGGAUGUGAGGAAAAAGAUACACUCUAGUGUACAUUGCUGGUGGGACUACAAAUUGGUGCAGCCAAUAUGGAAAGCAGUAUGGAGAUUCCUUGGAAAUCUGGGAAUGGAACCACCAUUUGACCCAGCUACCCUCUCCUUGGUCUAUACCCAAAAGACUUAAAAACAGCAUACUACAGGGACAUAGCCACAUCAAUGUUUAUAGCAACACAAUUCACAAUAGCUAAACUGUGGAUCCAACCUAGAUGUCCUUCAGUGGAUGAAUGGAUUAAAAAAAAAUGUGGCAUAUGUACACAAUGGAAUUUUACUCAGCAAUAAAAGAGAAUAAAAUCAUGACAUUUGCAGGUAAAUGGAUGGCGUUGGAGAAGAUAAUGCUAAGUGAAGUUAGCCAAUCCCAAAAAAACAAAUGCCGAAUGUUUUCUCUGAUAUAAGGAGGCUGACUCAUAAUGGGGUAGGGAGGGGGAGCAUGGGGGGAAUAGGUGAAUUCUAGAUAGGGCAGAGGAGUGGGAGGGAAAGAGAGGGGGCAGGGGAUUAGCAAGGAUGGUGCAAUGUGAUAGACAUCAUUAUUAAAAGUACAUGUAUGAAGACACAAAUUGGUGUCAACAUACUUUAUAUAUAAAACCAGAGAUAUGAAAAAUUUUGCUGUAUAUGUGUAAUAAGAAUUGUAAUGCAUUCCGUCAUUUAUUUUUUAAAAAAUCAAUUAAAAGAGACAAAAAAUGCUUCUGUUCUCCUUUUUCAUACUUGCUUACAUAUUUUUCCUCUGUAUAUUUUCUAUUUUCCUUCAAUUCUGAGAAGUAUAAGACGUAAGGCAGCAGGAGCUCCAUUUCUGGUCAGAAUGAGGAAGUUUUUAUUAUAUUUUCUAACUUGACUGGUUAUCUCUUUAUACUCUGUGCCUACUGUCAUGAUUUUUCUGGAACUUCUUAAACCUCAGGGUCAUUUCAAAGCCAAAUCACUAAUCUCUGCACAAACCUUGUUUUAUUGAUUUUUUUGUACUGUAGAAAAGGACUUUUUAUGUUGCAUUUCUAGUUUCUUACCAUCAGCUAAUAAAUUCAUUGAGUCAUACUAUUAGAAAGUCAUAGUACUUGAUGUGGAUGUGGAGGAGUGGAAUGAUGACCAAGAUAUGGUCUCUGUCCUCAGUAUUUUUAGGUAUUUAGCAUAAAAGGAAAGAGGAAAAAUACACCGCCAACUCUAGUCCAAAAUAUAAUGUGUAGAGCAAAAAGGACUCAAACAGUACUAAAGAAGGAGAUGAGAGAAAGCUUUAAAUUUACGGUGGUAGUUAUUGAGUUGCAUUUCGCUGUAGAAAUUCCCAGGCUGUUGGUGAAUGUGGGAAUGUGAAAACCCUUGAUGCCUUCAGAAAACUGCCAUGUGUUUGACAGGAGGGUAGAAAAGGAAGAAAAGGUAUAAUCUGUUGGUCUUAAGUUGGAAUUCAUUUUUCAAGAUAAAUAAUAAUUGAAACUCUGAUCCAUUACUUAUAUAGAAAAGGAUUGGAGCUGGGUGUGGUGGCACAUGCCUCUAAUUCCUGCAACUUGGGAGUUCUGAGGUAGAAGGCUUACAAGUUGGAGGCUGGCCUGGGUAACUUAGUGAAACCCUGUCUCAAAAAUAAAAUACCAAAAGGACUGUGGGUGUAGCUCAGUGAUAAGUGCUGUUGGGUUUAAUCUCUAGCACCACACACUGCAUAAAAAGGAUAGGAAAUAAUAAUAACCAGGUAGCACACAACCAAUAUUUAAAGUAUGUUAACUUUAUAAUAACUUUAAUAAACUUUUCAUAUAAAUGUUUUCUCCUUUUAAAAUUAAACUAUAUUUUUGUAAUACUUUCAGAUUUGCAGAAAAAAUUAUGGCAGUAAUAUAUUUUCUGUUUUCAUGUACUUUAUACUCCCUUAUUGACAUCUUAUGUGGUAUGUAAGAUGGCACUUACCAUAUGGUAUUGUUGUUACAAUUAACGGACAAAUAUUUGUACAUUAUUAUUAACUGAAGUUCAUACUUUAUUCAGAUUUUCUUAAUUUUUAUCUAAUGUCCUUGUAUUAUUCUAAAAUACCACAUUACACUUAAUAUAAUAGUCAUGUCUCCUUAGACUCCUCUUGGCUGUGGCAGCUUUCAGUACUUUCUCUGAUUUUGAUGACCUUGACUGGUAUAUUGGUCAAGAUAUCUGUAGACUCUCCCUUAGUUGAGAUUUUUUUUUUUUUUUUAUAUUUUUCUGGAACUGUUGGUCUUUGGGAGGAACACCACAGAGGUAUUGAUUAAUACAAAAGUUGUGUGCUUAGUCAGAUCAGGCUGCUCUAAUAAUUUAGGUAGUUUUUUUUUUUUUUUUUUUUUGUACUGAGGAUUGAACUCAGUAGUACUCAACCACUGAGCCACAUCCUCAGCCCUAUUUUAUAUUUUAUUAAGAGACAUGGUCUCACUGAGUUGCUCUGCACCUCCUUUGUUGAGGCUGGGUUUGAACUCACAAUCUUCCUGUCUCAGCUUCCUGAGCUGCUGGAUUACAGGAGUGUGCCACCAUGCACAGCUCCAGAUUGGGGGGUUUAAGAUACAUUUAUUAGUCAGUUCCAGAAGUUGGCAAGUCCAAGAUCAAGUGCUGGCAGAUCUGGUGUCUGGUGAAGGCCUGCUUCCCGGAGUCCCUCACCUCUAAAUAUGAUCACACUAGAGCUUAGAUUUCAAUGUAUGAAUCUGGGGGAGAAACAACAUUCAGUUCAUAAUAUUGUGGUUUGGCCUUCUAGACUGAUUGUUGCAGGUUGUGGGCCAGAGGUCUGUUUUUAUAUAUGGUGUGGUUAUUGUUUGUUUUUAUAUUCAGCUUUCACCCUCCUCAUGGGUAGAGAAUCUUCAUCAAUUUUGGUAUGUUUUUUGGGUAUGAGUUGUUGUUUUUAUGAAUUAAAACCAUCAUGCUAGUUUAGGGAAGACUUUACUUUGUUCAGAACUUUACUGAGAAUUUACCAUUUUGGAAACUCAUGACUUCACAAGCAAUACCAUUCAUAGUAUCUGAGUCUCUAAUACACCUGUAUCAGUCUGCAUUUGUAGGGUUUGCAUUCAUGGUGACUCAUGGGUACAAAUAUCUGUCUACUUCAUAAAGUCACAAAAGUAUUUGCAUUUUUUUUUGGGGGGGAGUACCAGGGAUUGAACUCAGGGACACUCAACCAGUGAACCACAUCCCCAGCCCUAUUUUGUAUUUUAUUUAGAGACAAGCUCUCACUGAGUUGCUCAGCACCUUGCCGUUGCUGAGGCUGGCUUUGAACUCACAAUCCUCCUGCCUUAGCUUCCCGAGCACUGGAAUUACAGGUGUGCGCCACUGCUCCUGGCAGAAUUUGUAUUUUUAAUACAAUUAAAUUGUUUUAAUUAGGGCCAGGAUGAAGUAAGACAAGUGAGGUUGCCUUGCUACAAAAUUUAAGGAGAGACUCUUAGGGUCCUGCAAGUUCAAUUUCAGUGCUUAAAUUUUGCACCAUAAGCACCUUGUAUACCUCAUCCUAGUCCUGAUCUUAUGACACGUGAUUUUCUGUUCAUAACUUUUUUAUAUUGUAUCUAGGAUAUUGUGUUGAUUUUGAAAAAAAAAUGUGUGGGGAUUGAACGAUUAAGUUUGUUAAAGUACAAAAAAAAUGUGUGUUUAAAAUGAUCUGUUUAUAAAAGAAAGUGUUUGUUAGAUCUGAGAAUCACCUCUUUAGUGCACAUAUGUGGAAAUAUCCAUUUCUGGGCUGUAUGAACAUCUUCUAUUUUAUUAGGUAUUGCCAGAUAGCUUUACAGAAUGGCUCAUCAGUCAUGCAGUGCUACAGUAAUGUCACAUUAAACAAACAAACAAAAUGCUUCAAUAUAGUGGUUUAAAGCAAUAAGUAUUUAUUUUUCCCUAUUAGUUUGUGGGAUAUUGCAAAUCAGAUAAGCUGGACUGGAUUCUAAACUCCAGAUUCUGGGUUCCAGUCUACAAAUUUGAUUGAGGUUGGGUUCAGGUCCACUCCAUUUCUCUUAUUCUCUUGGACAAACAACUAGUCAGGACAAGUUCUUCUUAUGGGAAAUUGCAGAAGCAAAAGAACAUAGGUGAAAAUACGUAAAACCUCAUGUGUGUCACGCCUAGAACUGGCUCAACUGCAUAGGCCAGAGCAAGUUACAUAGCCAAGUCAACAUAUGUGGGGUAGGGAAAUAUGCUGUGCUCAUUGUAGUGGGUGAUAUUGCGAAAUCAUUUGGCAAAGAUGUGGAUUAUAAUGCUAAUACAGGGAAGAUGUCAACAUUAUGAAUAAUGAUUCAGUUUACCACAAUGAUAUUACUGUUAUAUAUUCUAUCUGUAACAUAUACAAAUUCCUAUUUUUCAACAUCUUCACCAACUCUUGAUGUUACCAGAUUUUAUCAUUUUUGUUUGUUAGAUUAGUGGGUGUCAAAUGACAUAUUGUUAUUUUCAUUUCCAUUUCCAAUUUCAUGUCCUAAAAUAAAAUGUAUUCGUUUUAAAAGAUUAUUUUUUUCCUCCACUAUGAAGUCAGGUAGUGAGAAUGAUGAACUUUUUGUGACAAAAAUAAAAAUUUGGAAUUUGAGUUUUUUAUAAGUAUAAUUAGUUACAAACUUUAACUACCAACUCAUUUCUAUUUUCCUUUUGCUUACAUGUGUCAGAUAUUCUGAGAAUCAUUAAAAUGUCUAGACUCUAUUCAUGAAAGGCCCAUUUGUUCUAAACUCUCAUUCUGUAGACAGGAUGCAUUCAUAAUUUUCUUCCCACUUCUCAGUAGUCUAAUUUUACUAAACCCAUUUAGUAAGUGAAGUAUAGGAAUUGUAGUCCAGAUUUCCUCUUUGAAAACAUGACUCUAUACCAAAAUAUGUGGAUAUUGUUAGUUUCAGUACAUGAAUUUCUAUGCAUUUCUCUGGGAAAUAAACUCCUUAUUUACUGGCACUCCUCUGAUAUAGAGGCAGUUCUAACUGAAGAGCACCAUCCAGGUGAGAGCAGGGUGAGAAUUCAAAAGGCACUACAAAAUUAUUUUUGCCUUGUGAAUAUCAUCUCAUUUAUUCUAGGGUCUCAUAGGUCAUUUCUAGGAUUGGAGUAUUUCAAAAGAAAUAUUGGCUCUACAUACCAAAAAAAAAAAAAAACUUAACAGGAAUUUUAUUCUCCACAGCUAUAUCAUAAGACCAUAAGUUUUAUAACCCAAGCAACAGUUCUAGUGGCCCAUUUUGUCUUCUGCUUCUCAUAAACUAUUACUGUCAGUUAUCUCUCCUAUUCUUGGUCAGCUGGGCUUUUGCCAUCCUGAUUUGAUCUGCUUUAGUAAGUUAUCACAAAUAUUGACUCAACUCCUCUGCAGUAAGCCAUUUCCCUCCUCCUACCCUCUCAAGUCUGAUGAUGCUACUCAGGUUGAGUUCUCUGUUCAUCUUUAUUCUUCUCCAUCACAAAAACCCUAGAACUAUGGACUAGGACUAGGGUUAGUGGCUUGAUGGAUUGAAAUUCUAGGGAGAACAUCAGUUUGAAUUCUCCUUGUCAGCUUGUCGGCAAGAUGAUGGCAUCUACACACAUACCAACAUUUGUGCCAUUUCUGUCACAAAAGGAAAUAAUGACUACUUUUUGAUUCUACUUUUUGGUUCUAGCAGCUCCUAGGCAGGAACCAUCCUUCAGAAAGAAGAAUAUGGAUAAGAGGCAGGGCUUUUCAGAGGUGCUAUUGGCUUCUGUAGGAAUCAAGGGGCACCAUGUUGCCAGAGAAGGUCUCUUCUGUAUCCUUAAGGAGUCUGUUUCUCUCACAGAUAGGAAAAAGGCCUCCUCUGUGUCAGGGGCUGGUAUAUUUCAUCGGGCUAGAACAGCAUAUUCUCUUAUGACUUGAUACUCCAGAUGUUAGGAUAUUUUCUGUGUGAUACUUUGAAUUUAUAGUGGGAUUUCUAAAACUCUCAAGGUCAGUUUUGGUGCAUUUCCAUCCCUAAAAUCCAACUCCUUUGCACCAUUGUCUUUACUGCUGCUAAAUCAGGGUGAACAUCCCUGUUUCAUUCUAAAUAGGUGAUUUUAAUCUGGAGCAUAGCUGACUUACAUUCAUAUUCUGUAUGGUAAUGGAGUUUGAAUCUUGAGGCCACAAUUUCAGUGGGUUGGUUGGGCAUACUAGGAUUCUCUUAGAUAGCUAGUCAUUAGUUACUUGCUUUAUUCUUCAACAUCAAUAAAUUUUAUCCUGUCAGGUAAUCAGGGAAAGGUUAGUUCACUAAUGCCAGUAGCUUACCUGAGCCAUUCUCUGGCCCCUUCUGGCCAGCCUCACAUCCUUUGGUAAGAUAGGUAACUUAUGGGCCUUUGGCAGACAUCUUCAAGGAAAGGAACCAUGAGUUAUGAUGGCUGGGCCAGCGUGUAUGGAAUAUGUCUCUUACUAGAAUAAGGGAGAGGUUACUUAAUAAUAUACAGGUGCAAGCUUUUCUGAUGUCCUCAUAUCUCCUUUCCCCAGGGACACCAGUUUCUACUGGGGCUGGUGAAGAUGUAUCCCACUUCUGGUAUUUUAAUUUCUGCAUCCUGAAAGAUAACAGAAGAAAACAAAGAUAAAAUGGACCAGUUGGAUUCUAGAAAAAAGGCUCUGGGCUGAAACUUUUCAUGAGAAUAGUGGGGGAAAUGAAAAGCUUUAAUAUUUGUUAUGGAGGUAAUUAUGGCUGAUAAAUAUAGAGAACUAUGUUAAUGAAGGUCCUAGAAGGAAACGGAUCAUACUUCCAAGCUGGUAAUUUAGGAGAAUUUAAUAAAAGUGAUGUUUACAAAGAUGUGGGUAGGAUAAUAAUGAAGAAUAUUUUAUUGUUAACAAAGGAUCACUUUGUUGAUUCAGUUCACUGACUUCACAUUUUUCUCUUCUUCCUGGUAGAACUUAAUUUUGCUAAAGGAUCCUUCAUUUUCACAGUUCAUAAUAAUCAUUUUCUAUUCUUUCUUUUACAUGUUUAGUUAGAAAAUCUUGUCAAAUUGAUAGUGUCUCAUGAUCUCUUUUCAAUUUCUCUUCUGCCUUUAUUUCAGCCCUCAUAAUCUUAUUACAGUAAUCUCCCAACUGAUCUUCCUGCCUCUAAUCUCUUCUAAUCUUCCCUGCAACUAGGAUAUUGCUUUCAAAUCCUUUAAUAUCUUUCUGUUGCCUAGCAAAUAAAAUAAAGACAUCUAAACCUAAUGUCUUAGGCCUUUACCAUUAGUACCAGUGAACCAUUUUAGCUUGAAGCUCAGUACUUUCCUUCAGGCUUAUAUUCUUAAUCGUUUAAAAAAUUCUUCACUUUUGUUAUCAUGGAGGUCAGAUGAUUUAUCUGCAAUUUAGAUGCCUUUCUUUAGUUUACCUGAAUACAGAUUAUUUCAAAUACCUCAGGUCCUAAAUACCCCCACAUAACCAGAUGUCUCCAUCAUCUCCUUGUCCUGUGGUUCCUGAGAGCCUUCACCUUUCCCUCCAUAGUUUUAUUGCUACAUUAUGAUACAUCCAGGUCUGUCAGCCCCUGGGCUCUGAGGUUCCCUGGGUCUUUUACUCUCAGUGCAUGUUCCUGUGUAACGUGAGCUCUUUUAUUUGAUGUUGGUCAAAAGAAGCAACGGACAGUUUAUAUGAAGGACCAUCUAGUAGUCCUGACUCAAAAUUUUUAUUUUAAGGUAAUCUCAAAUUUAAAGAAAUUUAUUGCAAUUUUGCUACUGUUUUUUUCCAGGGCCAUUUGAGAAUACAUUGAUGAUGUGGUUGGUGCUCUAUUACUCUGAAAAACUUUGGUGUGUGUUCCCUAUAAACAAGGACAUUCUUACGCAACCACAGUACAACCAUGAAAAUGAGAAAUUAAUUAUUAAUCAGAAAUUGGUACAGUACCACCAUCUAAUUCUCAGAUCCUGUUCAAGUUUCACCAGUGGUUUCAAUAAUGUAUAGCAAAGUAAUCCAGUCUAUAAUACUAUCUUGCAUUUAUUUGGUUGCUAUGUCUCUCUAGACUCCUUUAGUCUGGAUUAGUUCCUCAGUCUUUCCUUGACUUUCAUGACAAGAAAUAUUUCUGAGGAGGCACUUUUAAACUAUGUAAUUUCUUCAUCAGGUUUUAAUGUAUUCUUUAAUUCUUUAACCACUUUGGAUUCUUAGUUUCCUGUUUUAUUCUGUGGACUUGUUGUUUCAUUGUUAUUUUGAUAAAUUAUCUCAUAUUUUAUCCUGCAGGAGCCUCUGUAAUCUGAUGUCUGCAUUCUCUUGACCUAUCCCAUCAUUCUUUAAGAACUUGACUACUUUCUAAGAUGUUCAACUUCUUAUACUUAAGAACCUAUUCCAGUCUUGGAAUCAGCCAUUUCUCUCCAAGGCUCCCUUUUUCCUGUUACUUAUUUAUUUUUUGGUGUUGGUGAUUGAACCCAGGGGUGUUUUACCAUGAGCUACAUCCCCAGCCCUGUUAAUUUUUUCUUUAAAGAUUGAUGUGAUUUUUUUCAUACUUUUAUUUUAUUUAUUUAUAUAUGGUGCUGAGGAUCGAACCCAGCGCCUUGCACAUGCUAGGCGAGCGCUCUACCGCUGAGCCACAGCCUCAGCCCCCCUAGCCCUGUAAAUUUUUUAUACUUUGAGACAGGGUCUUGUUAAAUUGCUUAGGACCUUAGCUUUCUGGGAUUAUAGGUGUGCAUCUCUGUGCUGUUUUAGAUCACAAGAUAUACUUAUUGCCAUUUGGGAGUUGCUGCUCCUAAUCCUCUCAGGGGACAGAGCAAGGGAGUAUAAAACAUAUAUAGACAUAUGAAUAUUUUAUUUGUAAAUUCUUUUUGUAUCUAGCUCUUAUUUUCCUUUUUCUCUUGAAAUUAUGAGUUCAUGUUAAUAUCUCAAAUUCCAAUCUUAUCUUCAGAAUCUACUUGGGCUCUAACAUCUGAGGCAGGGCUGCUCCAUGUGUAGAUGCCCUCUUACCCUGCUCUCCACCCCUCUCUGUGUUGUACUCCAGAAUAGGUGUUUAUCUUAGUUGGCCCCAAAUAUGGCUCAAGAACUGAAUUAGUUAGGAAGGGAAAGAGAAAGAAGAUGAGGGAGACCACUUUUUUGGGGGAGAGAGAGGUAUUGGGGGGGGCACUCAACCACUGAACCACAUCCCCAGCCCAAUUUUGUAUUGUAUUUAGAGACAGGGUCUCACUGAGUUGCUUAGCACCUGGAUAAAUUGCUGAGGCUGGCUUUGAACUCUCAAUCCUCCUGCCUCCGCCUCCUGAGCCACUGGGAUUACAGGCAUGCGCCACUGUGCCCAGCAGAGGGAGACCCAACUUUUAUCAUCUAUUUCUACUUCCCUUCCUUUCUUUUUUUGAAAAUCUAAAUAAUCCAUUAAUCAAUUACUGCAGACCCGGGGGAUUUCAAUAGCAGUCUCUUUUUGACUCCUAAAAGUCAUGUCCUCUUUCAUUAAGCUAUUCCUUCACCUUUUUCUUAUAGCCUUGAUUCCUAAGGUACUUUUGACAUAAUUCUGUGAAUAUGUAAGGACAUGAAGAAUUGGACCUUGUUACAAAGAGCAUGCAGGAAACAUCAUUCUGAAUGUGAGCUCCACAUUGCACACAUUUUUUUUUUCUCUCUCUCUGUGGAUUGUAUUUGUGUCUGUGUUUGUGCCGGAGAGAGAAGAAAUUUUUUAAAGUUUGGAUAACUAAUUUAUAAAGGCUUCUCUUGUUUUGAAGGGGGUCUUUGUUUUUUCAGUUUCAGGAAAUUUCUCCUUUUUUGCCUGGAAUAGGUUAUAGAUUAAGCAGCCUCUCCCUGUGUGGUAGAAGAACCACUGGUUGUCAGCUUCUGCACUAGUCUGCAAGAAAUUCAGGGACAGGACUUGUAGGCUCUGUGAGAACUGGGUAUGUCUCUUGUGGACACAUUUGUGUGCCUAGCCCCAGCACUAUGCUCUAUCACCCAAGAGGCCCUGAUGUCAGUUAACAUUAGUUUGCCAGCCCUGGUUUGUUCUUGGGUCUGAUAGCAAAGUCCAUGAUCUUUUCACUACACCUUGCCAUGUUUAGGACAGGAUGGGCUCUGUCUCCUUAAACUAGUAUAUGGUGAUUUCUAAGUCUGAGAGAUUAUUAUCUAAUAUCAUAUCUUUCUUAUCCAUGUUGGAGUCUGUUAUUUAUGGCCUAAACUCAGUGCUCAGUGAUUUUGUAGAUACUUCAACUAUUAUAUUAUUUGUUCUCUCAUUUUUUUCAAGUACCCACUAAUAGAUGAGAGGUAACUUCAUCAUUUAAUGUCUGUGUUACAUAAGUUGUUUAAUAUCUUAGGGUCACUUUUCUUAACUUUCACACAGGGGAUUUUAAUUACUUCUUUACUGAUUUUCUGUGAGGUACAGCUUAUGUAAAUAUGCUCCCACAAGUGGCAGAUCGGGUGCUCAGUAUGGGUAUCAUUUGUUUGCUUGCACUUGAAGAAGUUCACAAAAGGAUGUUAAGACAGUUGAAAUGCACUAUCCCAACCACUAUUCGUUGUUGGGUAUUUCAUAAAAACCGGUGUUGGUGGGGCACGGUGGCGCACGCCUGUAAUCCCAGCGGCUCUGGAGGUUGAGGCAGGAGGAUUGUGAGUUCAAAGCCAGCCUCAGUAAUUUAGCGAGGUGCUAAGCAACUUAGUGAGACCCUGUUUCUAGUAAAAUACAAAAUAGGGCUAGGAAUGUGGUAGUGCCCCUGAGUUUAAUCCCUGGUAUCCCAAACCAAAAAUUAACAACAACAACAACAACAAAAAUGGUGCUACCCUUGAUUCAGUAGCUGCAUAAUUAUUAAAUUUGUUAAUAAAAUUGGGCUCUGUGCAACACUGUUCAUGAUUUGGAUUUUUGGUAGAUAGGUAGUUUUCAAUGGCCUCUUCUUCAGUCAGUGGUGGUUAACAGUUUAUUCAGAGUAAUUCUUUUUGCCACUAGAUGGUGCUUGUCCCUGUAUUUGCGAGGCUUUUCUAUACAAAGUUACAUUAUUUGGGGAAAAGCAGUAGGAUUGCAUAUUGCUAUUGAUAUUCAUACACACCCUGUGGAUGAGAUAUUUUAAGGUUAAAUUAUAGGGUAAGGGGAGCAUUUAGAUGAGAAUUUUACAGUUCUUUUAGAUCACUGUGUUUACUUAAUGCCCUUUAGUUUAAAAAUGAGAAAAAUUAAUGAAAUUAUUGUAUUCCUUUUUUUUUUUGAGAGGUACAUAAAGUUGGGCCUAGAUUAACUCAUGAGUUUGUUAGAACUAUUAAAAUAAUAAAGUAAGUUGUAGGCCCACAUACUGUCUAGUCGAUUUUUCAAUGUAGUCAGAAAACCUUAGGAGACAAUUCACACUCAGACAUUCUAAUAAUGGAUAAUCAGCGUCAUAUAUAAUUCAGUGCCUCUCAUUUUGAACUAUAAUGACUGUGAAAAAAUGUGCAGCAUUUUCUGUACCUGAUGAAAUCCUGUAAACACCAAGCUGCCUAACAUGGUAAUACAUAGAUAAAAGAUGGUCUCUCCCAUUCAUGAAUUUAGGAAUGAUUAACUGUGUUUAACUGAGGUUAGUUUCUAUGGUAGGGAUUGUGUAGAAUGAGAGGAAAGGAUCUUCAGAAUUUGUUGCACAGGACUAUUUUAGAUGAGCUGCAGGGGAAACCUGUUAAGAGAUUUUCUACUCACUGUGUUUUCUAUGAAGAGCUGACAUGACCAGUUUGUGAACCAAACUUUGGUGAAAUACAAUUUUAAUUUUUAGAAUUUAUCAAAUAGCACUCAGAACAGUUCUGGGCACUGAAUUAUAUAUGACGCUGAUUAUUCACUAUUAGAAUGUCUGAGUGUGAAUUAUCUGCUAAGGUUUUCUGAUUACAUUGAAAAAUCGACAAGACAGUAUGUGGGCCUACAACUUGCUUUAUUAUUUUAAUAGUUCUAACAAACUCAUGAGUUAAUCUAGGCCCAACUUUAUGUACCUCUCAAAAAAAAAAGGAAUACAAUAAUAUCAUUAAGAUUUCUCAUUUUUAAAAAGUAAAUAUGUUUAUGUUUAAACUUAAGAGCUAUUAUAGUAGAAAAUGGGGUGACUCUGCUUAUUCAUUCUAAUUUAAAUGGAAAAUGAGGAUAGGGGACAGGGGUUAGUGACAAAUUGAGAGUUGGUCCUAGCAAAGCAGAGUCAGUCAAUUGAGAGCUGGUGGUUAGAUAGGGUGAGGAGUUGGUUUUCAAGCAACAGGAACUGACUCUGACUAAGAACAAGUGAAAAAAUUUUGAAUCUAAUGAAAAACUGAAGAAUUAGAUUUCAGAAAUGACAAAUGUAGAAUGUCUUCAGGGAUCUAGGUAGCAGGAAAUGAUGAAUAGUCUUCUUGGAAUGAAAUAGUUUUCAUAGUGAAUGAAUUCAAGCUACUUAAUUUUUUCUUUUCUUUUUCUUUUUAACCCUGCUAAAGAGAUUGUGAGAGCAUGAGCAUCCAUGUCCCAAUCCUUAUUAGUAUCAGAUGAGAUGGGGAAAGCUAAUGUUGGUGGGGAGGCAGGCUUUGGGGGAAGACUGGAUUUACAUGUGUUAAGUUGGAGAUAUUCAGACAUUCAAACUGAGAUAGCAAGUGGGUAUGGGUUGGAGGUAGAGAGAACAAAUUUUGGAUACAUGAGUUUAUAGGAGUAUUUGAUGUCAUAGGAGUAGAUGUGCUUAUGGAAGGAGAAAGUAUACAUAAGAAGGUUUCAUUGCCUUUUGGGGCUUUCCAACCCAAAAAAGUUGGGAAAAAGAGAAAGCACCUGCAGAGGAAGUUGAGAGGGGUAAUUAAGAAUUUCUUAGUCAGACCUUUUAGUGAGAAUCACACAUAUAAAUAUGUUAUCUUCUGAUCUCCAGCCAGACUCCUCAGCCAGACUCCUUUCAAGUCCUUACUUUUUUAGCAGGACACUAGCCAGAGCCCAAGAAUUUAUAUAAAGUCUGAUCCUGUGCCUUAUUUUCUUGCAGACAAAGGGAGAAAAUCUAUUACUUGAAAAAUCUCCCUUCCUCACUGUUUUUAGUCCAAAGAAGGGGUUUAAACUAUGAAUGAGUGUUUGUAUGUUAGAUUUAGAGACCUCUAAAUGGGACUGGUAUUUUCCAUCUUUUGCCAGCUAACAGAUUCCCCAUGAAGCGAGAUGUAGUUGAGGUACAGGAGUCCAUCUGCAGGAGUAGGCUCCCGGGGAGUGUGCCUCCUGGCACGCAGCCUCCUUGGCCUUCAGGCCUGUUGUGGCAUCUGUCCUAGCUAUUCAAAGCUGUCGCAAUAAAACUCCUUUUUCAAUAAUGUUCUGUGCUUAGUCCCAUAUUCUUGUUCUGGCAAGUGGCCUCUGGUUUGGUUCCAACUCUGUACCACUCACUAAAAUUCAUCAUAUCAAAUUCCUGUAAGAUUGCUCUUGGCACCCAGUUUGAGAAAGGGGGUGGGGGAAAAGAUAGAUAGAUAGAUAUGGGGAGGGGAAAAGGAGGAGAGGAAAGUGGAGGUUUGGGGAAGAGAGAAAGAGAGAGAGGCCCACAGGCACAGACAUUACUGACCUUACUACUUGCUCAGACAGAACCUGUCACUAGAGUCUCAUUUACUUCUGGAGUGGAUCUCUCUCUACUACCUGAAAUCAUGUACUGUAACUACACUAUUUCUUAUUUUCUGAAAAUUACCUAGCCAUUCCUAACACUAUGAACAAUUUUUCUCUUUUUUUAGAGAUGGGUUUCUGUUCCUCUUCUACAGGGACAGUCCUUUGGUGAGUAGUUCUGUCUUUGUAAUAAGUCCUGUGCUGAUGGUACAUCUUAUCCUCAACACACAGGCUCAGUAUAAUUCAAGUGCCAUUUUCAACCUCCAAGGCCUCUGUAGUAGUCAGGUUGCUCUUCAUAUGUAUGUCAGAACAUAUUCUGUACCUUAGCUGUGCACUGAGAUUUUUAAUAACUCUAGAUAUUCCAAUCAGAAGAAGGUUACAUCUGGUCCCAAUUGGUGGCUUCCACCAGCUGUUCCGUGAAUCAGCCUAGAGGCCUACCCUGAUGAAGCUUGUGAACACAGACCCCUCUUCAGAAUUUAGGUUUUAUUAUGUUUUCCUGAGUCAUUUAACAUAUUGUGAGCUGUAGGUUUUAGAGUUAAAUUUAUUUUAAUUUUCACUAUAAAGCAAAUUGAUCUUUGUGGACAAUGUAUUCUAAUAUUAUUAUGAGCACUAGAGGGCACUCUGUAAAAGAUGAAGCAGUUUUUCAUUUCUUGAUUUUUGAAAUAUCUGUUAUAGCUAUUGAAAUAAUUGAGGCGAGUCAUUAAAAACUAUUAUAUUGUAAUCAAGUAUGCAAGGAAUAAAUCAUUAUCUCUAAAGGAUACAUAACAUACUUCUCAUCCUUGACGAAGGACAAGAAUGACCAUUAUUCCUUGAAUUGACUACUUUGCCUCAAGAUGUACUUCUAAAAUGCUCAUGUUAAAAAUGACAGUCUUGGAGAUAAAUAGUAUGAAAACAUUAUUUAUUUAUUCACUGAAUACUCACUGAUGAUUUACUCUAUUGUAAGCUUCCUAAGGGACACAAAUAUGGUGGAUAAUAAAUUAUAAUAAAGUAUGAUGUUAUCAAAUAGAAACAUGGUAUAUAAGCCACACACAAAAUUUUAACUUUUUAGAAGAUACAUUAACAAAGUAAAAAGAACCAGGUGAAAUUGAUUUUGGCAAUAUCGUUUAUAUAUAUAACCCAAUAUAGCAAAAAUACCAUUAUUUCAAAGUGUACUAAAUAUAAAGAAAAAUUAUUGCAAGUUGAAUAUCUUUUAUCAGAAAUGCUUGGGACUAAAAGUAUUUUGGAUUUAGGAUUUAAAAAAAGAUUUUAGAAUAUUUACAUAUAUGAAAUGAAAUAUCUUGAUAUCUUGGUGUUGGGACCCAAGUCUAAACACAAAAUUGAUAUAUGUUUCAUAUAUACCUUAAUGUCCAUAGCCUGAAGGCAAUUUCAUAUAAUAUUUUUAGUGUGCCUACAUUUUGGCUGUGACCAGUCGUGUGAGAUCAGAUAUGGAAUUUUCCACUUUGUGGGCUUGUGCCAGCACUCAGAAUCCUUCAAUAUUUUGAGUAUUUUGAUUUUUAAAUUUUUGGAUUAGAGACUCAUACUGGUUAUUUAUGAGAUUUACACUCUUUUUUUGUACUAAAACUUUGAAAUCCAACGUGUACUUUAUACUUAUAAUAUGUCUUCUCUUGGAUUUGUCAGAUUUCAGCUGCUCAGUAAUCACACCUAGCUGUGGCUUCCCUUUUGCACAGCACAGCUCUGGGGCCCAGUCUUCUGGACAGGCUGCAUUCUAGAAAUUUAGUAAUAGCCUCACUCUCCUCAUUGAGGCUUUAUGUGUGUGUGUGUGUGUGUGUGUGUGUGUGUGUGUGUGUGUAUGGUUCUGGGGAUGGAACCCAGGGCCUUGUGCAUGUGAGGCAGGCACUCUACCAACUGAGCUAUAUCCCUAGCCCCAUGAGGCAUCUUUUAUAUUACCAAAAAAUUUACCCAUUGAAGUGUACAAUUCUCUCACCUACCUUUUAAGAAAACAGCAUCUACUCUUGUUCCCAGGAUGUAGUAUCUUCUCUUGCUUCUCCAAGGUUCUUUUUGUAAAAUUUCCUUUUCUGUUUUUAUAGUCUCUAUAUUGUCCACAUUUAUUUUUAAAGAAAAAAGCAUUUUGUUUGCCCCCACCCCCACACUAUCUCUUCUGCUUGGAAAUAUCCUCAUGUGUCUGGUUUUCCUUGAUGAGUAGAAAACUGUAUGUGGGUCCUUAGGGGUGAGGAGAUGGGUUAGCAUUUAACCUUUGAUUUCUCUAUUGAAUGAGCAAAUAAGUGAAAAUGAUUAAAUUCUCUUCCAACUUCUUCUUCAUCCAUCUUAAGCCGGUUUCUUUCUAGAUUGGAUAAACUUUACCCUUCUACUUUUGUUCAACAUGUUAGUUCUGAGUGUACCCAAGAGUCCCCUUCCUCUAGAGCUUAGUAGUCUGGUUUUGUUUUGUUCUGUUUUGUGUACACAUGGGGAAACUACCUUUUAAAAAAGGUUAAAAUGACUUAGGUUUCUAUAACUCCACUAAAAAAAAAAAAGAAAAGAAAGAAAGAAAGGAAGGUAGAAAAUGGGUGAACUUUUUUUUUCCCCUCUGUGUUAUAUAAAUAGCAGCAUGCAAGCACAGAUCUAUUCUGCACUCUUCCCUAGAAAUCUUCAAGGCUCACACCCGUACUCCUUUCCAGGCUUCUAAUCAAAACUCACCUUCUCAGUUAAGCCUUCCUUGACCUUUAUAAUUAUAAGUUCCCUCCCAUACUCAUCUGUAUACCCUGGUAUUCCCUAUUCUCUUUCCUUGCUUUGGUUUUUCUUUAGUACACUUAUCACCUGAAAUUCUAUAUACUUUACAUCUGUCUCUUUCCCUUCAAAAUGAGAGCAGAUUUUUUAGAUGUUUAAUUGAAUAUAACACUAAUACAGAAAAGAAUUCGUAAGUUUGCAGCUUGAUGAAUUUUCACAAAAUGACAUACCCACGUCAUUGUGUCCCAGAUUAAGAAAUUGAGCAUAGCAGCAUGCCAGAGGUUUUCCUCAUACUUUUCCCUAUUCACUAACACUUACCCAAGCCUUUUUUCAAAGGCUACUACUACUCUCUGGUUUUCUAUAUCAUGCAUUAGUUUUGCAUUUUAUAUAAAUGGAAUAAGUGCACAAUGUAUUUUUGUCCAGUUUUCCUUACCUCAACAUUAUAUUAAGUUUCAUCUGUGAAGUUGUAUCAAUAGUUUGUUCAUUUGCAUUGAUGUUGUAUCAAUAGUUUGUUCAUUCCAGUACUUCAUUGUAUGAUCACAAUUUAUUUAUUCAUCCUGUUGUUGAUGAAUAUGGGCGGUUUCCAAUUGGACUUUUAGCUAUUAUAAUUAUCUUUUGUUUUGAAAAAGCCUGUAAGGAUCUUAGGCUAUUAUUUUUUAUACCCUUAUAAAUGCUUCCUUUGAGGCAAUAAACAGGGCUGUCUACCUGCUUAGAUUUGGGAAAGCAGCAAUGUUAUCCAGCCAUCUUUUUUUUAAAAUUUUUUUUAGUUGUAGUUGGACUCAGUAUCUUUAUUUUAUUUAUUUACUUAUUUUUAUGUAGUGCUGAGGAUCAAACCCAGAACCUUGCACAUGCUAGGCAAACGCUCCACAACCCCAGUCCUCCAGCCACAUUAGUAUCCUCCACUAACUGAGCUCCUUGGGAACACCUAAUCAUCUUUGAAGCAGCAGUGUUUGGCGUGGAAGAUCACAUAAUGAUCUAAAGACUGUUUCUGAGGGAUCACAUAAGUUUUUAUUUUCAGAAUGAAACUAGGGAGAGGAGUUUAUAGAAGAAUCAGAGAUUAAAUGGAGUUUACCAUGUAGAAACUUCAAAACCAGCAAUAAGAGUAGUUUUAAAUGUAUUUGAAGACAGAAAUUUAGCUAAGGAAUGGUAGUACCCUUUGAUUAUGUUGUAAAACAUUUGCAGAUAGAAAAGCAGAUGACAAGCAUAUCAAUUUUUUCAUUACUGUAAUAUAGGUAUUAGGAGAUAGAGGCCUAAUUUCUAGGUUUUUAAUUAUGGUAAAAUAUAUAUAAUGUAACUUUUACCAUCUAAACCAUUUUUAAGUUUACAGUUCUGUAGUACUGAGUACACUCAUGUUGUACAACCAUCACUACCACCCACCUCCCAAACUUUUCAACUUCUCCAACUGAAGCUCAGUCUUCUUUCCAGCCCUUGACAACACCAUUCUGCUUACUGUCCCAAUGAACUGGACUACUCUAGGAGCCUCAUGUAAGAGCGGUCAGACAAUAUGAUUCCUCUUAUGACUGAAUUAUUUAAUUUAGCAUAAUGUCUUCAAGAUUUUAAAUUUUCUUCUGAGGUAAACAGUUUGGAGGAUGUUUUAUGCUUAGUGUGCACAAGGCCCUGGGUUUAAUCCUUAGCAUAAAACAAACUAACAAAAAUAAAUCAACAUUUUGAAAUAUAUUUUAUAUGUCAGUUUAAAAUUGAAAAACAUGUCAACUCUUAAAAAAAAAAAACCAAACCCAGAAAACAAACAAACAAAAAAGAUAUUUUCCCAAGUAUCAAAGAAACUUCUAGAUAUAAUUGUUUGCCAAAGUAUGUAAACUCCUAUUGACUAGUGAUUUUUAUACAUAAUAAAUAGUAGAAUCAUUGACUAAAGAAGCAACUGUGACUCUUGGGUGGGGUAUAUUGGGGGGGUUAGCCUGAUUUUUAUAAUAGAAUCUACUGGAUGUAUCUGAGAGGAUAUAUUUACCUUCAAACAAGCAGAAACCAAUGGACACAAUAUUUUUAGAUUUAAAAAGCCUUUGGUGAUAUUUGUAUGCUUAAGACUUAAAAAUGAAUUCAGUAUGGCAUUAGAUGGAGUAUUUUGACAUGGAGAUCUAUCUAGGUACCACAAUGGAAAAAAGAAGUAAGUAUGCAGUUGUGGAACAGGAAGAUUUAGCAGUGGUUUCUGUUGGAAAACUGAUGCUGGCAAUAUAUGUUAUAUUUUUUGUCCUUUUAAAUAAAUGACUGGAUGAUGAACCAGUCAUCUUCUGUUUGCUCUUUCAGAUUCAUAUCUCACCCUUUUCCAGCUCUGUGUCCUGCCCUGGAAAGUGCCAGUACUGACUCCUGCAGUCAUCCAUCUUGCCUCUCACUUCUGGUAGCAUAUAGUCAACGGGAAGGAGCUGGUAGGAGGUGGGAGGGAGUAGGGGAGUGAGUCAUCUGGCUGGGACUCUCCACCAAACCUUUUUCACACUUGCUGUGUAAGUAGCUCCUUUACUAAAAUUCUCCUCAAAGUAUUCUAAUUUUUGUGUGGGAUCUGCUUUCUGCUAGGACCCUAAAAAUACACAUGACAGAAUCUGGAGGGUAGUUGAAAGAGAGGAAAGAUCCACUCUUCCAAGAGAUCUGGAUACUAGUCCUGGCUCUGUCCUAACUUGUGAGACAACAUAGUUUCUUCAUGUCUAAAUUUAUUUUGACAAGUUAGCAAUAGCAAUAUUAACCCUCUCUAACUUGGGGUGGAUUUUUGGUUAUAUAUAUAUUUAAAAAGACUUUGUCCUAAGUCUUUUUAAAAAAAUAGCCUACCACAAAUGAAUGGCAUUAUUAUGAUGAUGUUUAUCACCAGUGUAAACUGCCAAGUGAGAUUAAUGAACCCUUCCUAGAGGUGGCAUGAAUGGGCAGGAAGGUAACAUCUAAGCCUUAAGUGGUAAGGGCUGGCAUUUGAUUGGGAGUCCCAGGACACAGCACUUGAGUGAGAGGAAAGUGUUUUAUAGAAGGUCACGAGUGGCAUGGCACCAUGUCAUGUACUGGUUUUCUUUGGGUUGACUAUGCUGCUUCUUCAUCACUGCUGGUAUUUAGCUCCUGGCAUGGGUGAUGACUUUGAAGAGUAGCAAACUCAAAUGCUUGUGGUAGGAGGUCGGUAGGUGAGUGAAAUGCAGGACUGUAUUAAUUCUAAUCAGUUGCUGCAGUGGGGGAAUGUAGAUUGUCUCAGGAUUCUUCUAACUUUUCAUUUAUAAAGCCCUACAAUUUACAAAUGUCAGCAACUAAUUAAAAAUAUUAAAUAUAGUAUGGGCUUAAUAAAACACAUCUGAGAGCUGGGUAUAACCUGUGGGCUGCCAAUUUUUGAUCUCUGAUAUGUAAAUUUCUUAGUGACCUUAGAGGAUUAAACUGGAACUUGGGUUCCUACCACUGCUUGAACAAAUGUCUUCCACUUUUGGGUUUCUAGUCUGCACAUCCUUAGGUCCUUAUGUUUGAGUCUUAUGUCCAAAUGUGUGGUAAUGCAUUUUGGGAAACAUUGUUUGGAAAUUGAGCCAAACCCCUGAUGGCUUUUGUGGAGAGAGAAUGUGUGCUUGUUAGUUCCACUUCACCUUAUCAGGCUUGUUUUUAUAGAUAUAAUCUCUCCUUAAGCAGGCAGGUAUGAAAUCUUUAUUAUGUUCUCUCCUCCAUUCCAUUAGUUACCAUUUUCUGAAUAGGCCCAUUAGUCUUCAUUGAUCUUUGAGCAUCACUUGAUAUGAUUUAGAUAUUUCAAUAUUUCCUCACAGUACAAAUGAGUAACUCCCUUUUGCCAAGGUAUAUGGAUAAAAUCCCUAGAUGACAUUUGAAUAUUAUUUGUACUUUCUAGUACAAAAUUGAAUGGGUAUCUAUAACUGAUUUUUCCUUCAAAUUUGUGUCCCAUAAAACAUUAGUUCUGGAGAUGUUCCACAAGCAAGGGGUUCUAAUAUCCAUUAAUUUGGAGAAAUACCACUUAUCCUAUGGCCCUCUUGGAGAGUCAAAGGCAAAUUUGCCUGCAAAAGUUUAAGUCCUGCAGGGAGGCACAGUUAACUUUGUUUAAUCCAGUAUAUUCAUUUACUCAGUCAUUCAUCUGUCAACUAUUUAUUGAGCAUUUACUAUAUGUCUCUUUAAGAAGUACCAUUGACUUUUUAUUUGAUGGAAGAACUAUGCUGUUCUUCCAGGAUAUACUGUCCUCAUGGAACUGAUGUUCUGAUAGGAAAAACUGAUAAUGAAGAACUGAGUUAAUAAACGAAUUCUUCAUAGAUUGAGAGAAGCAGCAGGAAGAAACUAAACAGAGGGCAGUGAAGAGGAUAACCAGGGCAUGUACUGAGCUUGAAGAGGCAGGGAAGGCCUCACUUAGGAGGUGACACUUAAGAAAAGAGACCUAAAGAAAGAGAAGGAGCAGGCUCUGUGCACUGUCAGGGGACAAGUAUUUUAGGCAGGAGGAAGAGCAAGGGUAAAAGUAAUAUUAGCAAAGUACUUUGUGCUCCUACCAUGUGCUAAGCACUUUGCAUAAGUAUCUUUUUCCUCAUUUUACAGAUGAGAAUCUCAACUCACAAUACCUUCUGCCUGGGGUUUCAGAGCUUGUCAGUUUGUGUGGGACAGGGAUGGAACUCAGGCAUGCUUGUGAUAUACCUCCUUCCAAAUUACUAGAGGUUGGAAUCUCCACACCCUCCCUUUUAAAGUAGUAAGUUUGUUAAUAAACUUUGGUGCUCCAGAUUGGAGAACUCUGGUUUACAAGAAAUUACAAGAAAAUCUCUUCCUCCUCCUUAGAGCUUCAAAUAGUAUAGAGGUAGAAAAAUACUUCUAUAGCCUUAUCAAAUGCUUUUAAAUGAGUCUAUAUACUAAGCAUCUUAGAUACUUGGAGUACAGAUUUCUGGGCUUCUUCGUGGGCACAAUUCCAAGAUGUGUUAUAUGUGUGAACAACAGACUGAAGUGAUGAAGUGUAUACAGUGACAGAUGAAGAUGGGGCAGUCCUGAAUUUGGGAUGAGCAAAUAGUCACCUGUAUCUCCGUGGCUUCAGAAAGCUACACAGAUGGGCUGGAAUUGUGGCUCAGUGGUAGAGCCCUCGCCUAGCACAGGCCGGGUUCGAUCCUCAGCACCACAUAAAAAUAAAGGCAUUGUGUGGUAUCCAUCUACACCUAAAAAAUAAAUAUUAAAAGAAAAGCUACACAAAGUCAUGGGAAGGUCUUCCUGUAUUAAAAAACAGUUUGGCCCUUAGUAGGUGAUAUCUAGGGAAAAAAGAGAGGUAAGGCUCAUUACUGGUCUUACCUGCACCAAUUAACAUUAUCUUAUAGAACAGUUUAUUUAGGAGCUAUUGUGAGGGAAUUGAUCCAUUAUGUGGAUACAGAACAACUUGUUCUAAUAUUAAAUUUUCUGUUUCUAAUGUUGCUUGUGUUUGGAGUUUUGUUCCAAAGCCAGUUGUUAAAAAAAAAAAAAUUGGAGAUAACUGUGGAUUCACCUAAGUACUCUCUAUUAUGGCCACUGAAGAAUUCGGUCUUUGCAGUGGACCACUCUCAAAUGAGGAGGCAGGUCAUAUGCUCAGGAAGCCUUAGGGCAGUGCUGUCCAAGAGAACUUUUUGCAUUAAUGGAAAUAUUCUGUAACACAGUGUCUGUUUACUUUGUGACUGGUGUAAAUGAAGAACUAAAUUUGAAUUUGAACUAAGUUCAAUAACUGGCCAAAAAGCAGAAUGACCUUUGGGACUUUUUCAAGAAGCUUGCUUCAUAGUCCCUUUAGGUGUUAUUCCUGUAUUCCAUAUCACCGUCAUUUGCAUUUGCAGUUAAUUCUGUAGUCUAUAAAAUAUUUGCAUUAUAAAGAGAGGCUGCUUCUGAGAUUUGUGUGACUUAAGAAGUAGUGAAAUAUAUAUGAAGGUUGGGAGGGCAGCCCAGAGGCCACCAGAAGCCACAUGGAAGCAUGCCUGUGGGCUUUGUGUUGUCACAGUGACAGGUUUUGCUAUGGGGCUUUAGUGCCUGUGGGCUAGGAAGGCUAGUUGUAAUUAUAUUCUUCUUAAAAUAUCUAUAGUGCCUCUUUGAGAAGUACCAUUGACUUUUUAUUUUAUUUUAUUUUUGACAGUAAGUGUUUUAUUAAAACUUAGAAAUCUUAGAAUUCAAAGGAUUAGCUCUUUUCUGAAAAACUCCUAUAUUUGGUAGACAUUCUUCAAAGCUCUGGACAUGAGGGUUUUCUGCAGAAAGCUUGGGGUAUUGUGAAUCUAGGACUUUAUCCCAGCACCACGCAGGUAGUAGAACAUUUCAAAGUUAACGUUGAAAGAUGCUGAAGAAGCUAUUGGUAUUUGUUUAGAGCAGCCACAGUGAACCUGGAACCUUGUCUAGUGUGCAUAUAAAUCCUCGGAACCACUGAAACACUGUUAUGCUGCAGUGGAAGGAAACAAAGGAGGAGGUCUCAUCAUGUGAGCUGGAACCUCACCCUAGCAGCAUUCACCUUCCUGUUAGAAGACAGAUCAGUCAAACUGCCUUUAUACUAUGUAGACCAUGUACACAUUUCCAAGUUUAAAGGCAUCUUCUUCGAAGAACACAGUAGAAAGCUACCAAUCCUAGGUACAGUUGAGUAGUUUCCCUGCUGUUUUCUGGUGCACAGAUAUCUGCCUAGAAAGGAACUGGCCACUUGGUAAAUGAGCUGGAAGGAGAGGCUUUAUGUUCCUGUGAGUUAUUAAAAGGACAGUAGUUAGGUGAUAAAUUUGCAGGGAUCAGAUAAUGAUACUUUCCAAAGAGAUCCACAUGGGCUGUUAACAGACUUUACAAGCCUUCAAGAUUGUCCCUGGGCCAAACUUGGAAGAUAGUAUACCUUUUGUAACUCAUUUGACCAGAGACCAUUUUUAAUAGUCUUGUGUUACUUCCUUUUAAAGAUAUUUUUGUGGUAAUUAUGGCUGCUAGAUUGUUAUUGCACAAAUUCAUUUCAGGAAGUAUAUUUAAAAAGGGAAAGGUGACCAUUUUGCUCCAUUUUACUUAUUUUUCCAUCAAUAUCAUAGUAACUGCAAGAUGCUUAUCUUGUUCUAAGAGGACAUAUUUAAAUACAAUUAGAUAUAUCUGUUAUACCUGAGGACAAAUCAUAAUAAAAGUAUUCAGAAACACUUGUCUAAGUAAUUUUAGCUGGAGAUCAAUUAAAAUCUUUUUUUUUUUUAGAUGAACACAAUGCCUUUAUUUUAUUUAUUUAUGUUGUUUUAUUUUGUAAUUUCAGGUUUCUGAUUGAUUUUAAUGCAGUAUUUGUUUAUGUUUAUAAAUUUCAUUAAUUAACCUCAGGUAAUAGCAUGGGAGGUUUUCAGUAUAAUCUAUUUUAAAUUAAUCAGAUAUAUAGAAUCUUUGUUAGUUUUCUGAGGGUUAUAGUAGUGGCUGUGUGUGUGUGUGUGUGUGUGUGUGUGUGUGUGUGUUUUAAAGGCAGAAUCCUAUCACUGUGAACCAUUGAAUGAAAAAAAAUUGUGCAAAUCUAUAAUGACAUAAAAUCUGUUCUGUUGUUUAUAAUAAUCAGAUGCAUCUAUUGAAUUAGUUAUUUUAGAAUAUGCCUUUUUCCCCCUUUGUGUGGGCUUCAAAAAAUAGUUUCUGAGGAAGGAGUUUGAUUGAAUGGGUUGUCUGUAGGCUGCAAUUGUUGCUAAUCUGACAACAUUACAUGGAGGGUGUAUUUGCAGGGUGACGAUAAUCUAUUUAGAGAUCUCUCUUUCAUUUUUAAUUGCCUCUACAACUCUGAGGUCAUGAUCUCAAAAUGAUACUGCCGCAAUUGUCAGUUGUCUACUUUUCAAAUUGAAGAGACUGAUUAUGGUAUCCUACUAUCAAUCCUAUUGGGGUUCAUUCUUUUUUCUUAAGUUUCUUUACAUUCAUAUGAAAACUGAGUAGUAUAGGUAAUAUAUUUUUGACAGAAUAACUUGAUCCAAAUGUAAAAUGACCUGUGUAUAUUGAAACAUUGUUAAUUUAUGGAGGAAAACCCCCAAUACUUUAGAGUGAUUUCCUAGGCAAUGGUAAUCAGAGGUUUAGGGAGGAAGCUCAAGAUGUCUUUGACCUUGCUUUUGUAUUAACCGCUUGGCUCAGAAUUUUAGUGUUUCAUCAUGGGCAAGACUCUGGAGAGAAAGGAUGAAAUAUUCAGCUUGUUUAAUCUCCUAACUAUUCAGAGAUAUGUUGUCUAUGUUGAAAACAAUUGAAUAGUGUAUAGACAUAUUUUUUGAACUCUUGAAAGGUAGGCAUUUUUUGAAUUUUUGAACUUUUGAAUUUGCAGUCAGUGCCUGCAGAUGGAGGCAUUUCUUUUGGUAGUUCAUUUCAGUACUACGGUAUAAAUGUAUAGGCAUAGAUUCUAGUGAUGAGUGAAAAUAGACUUUAAAAAAAAUUAUGUGACAGCAGAAUGCAUUACAAUUCUUAUUACACAUAUAGAGCACAAUUUUUCAUAUCUCUGGUUGUAUACAAAGUAUAUUUACACCAAUUCAUGUCUUCAUAUAUGUACUUUGGAUAAUAAUAUUCAUCACAUUCCACCAUCAUUUCUAACCCCAUGUCUCCUCCCUUCUCCUCCCACCCCUCUGCCCUAUCUAGAGUUUGUCUGUUCCUCCCAUGCUCCCUUCUCCCUGAAAAUAGACUUUUGAUUAUAGAAAUAAAACAUGUUUUUUUUUCUUUUUAUGCUUAUUUUUAUAUUUAACAUUUAAUGUACUUAAACUUUAUAUCUGAUGUUUAAAAAUAUCUAUAAACCCUUAUUUUUAGCUUGCAAUUCUUUAGAGAUAAGUGAUAUUAGUAUAAUUUAAAAUUAGUAUGCAUUGGGCAUAGUGGUGCAUGCUUGUAAUGCAAGCAACUCCAGAAUCUGAGGCAGAAAGCUUGCAAAUUCGAGGUCAGCCUCAGCAACUUAGCAAGAACUUGUCUCAAAGUAAAAAAUAAUAAUAGAAAGGGCUGACAAUGUAGCUGAGUGGUUAAAUGCCCCUGAGUUCAAUCCCUGGUAACCUCCACCCUCCCAAAAAAGUACAUAAGCCAAAAAUGUGUAAAUUGUAGAAAUGAUUAAAAGAUAACUUACCUUUCCUGGAAUAUAUUGGGUAGAAUGAAACCUUUAUAGCACUUUAAUUUGUAUUUUUUUAAAAAAAAUAUUUAUGUUUUACUUGUACAUGGACACAAUCCUUUAUUUUAUUUUUAUGUGGUUCUGAGGAUCAAACCUACCACUGAGUCCCAGCCCCAACCCUUUAAUCUGUACUGCUAUAAGGACGAUUUAAGUGAAGUUAGGAGUGCUUUAGGUAGUGUGUGGGAAAUUGUCAUGUUUUAUGUUUUCCUUUCCAGCUAUUUUUGAAACAUGGCUAUAUUUAAAUAUGUUGCUGCUAUAUAAUGCCUGGAAGUUCACUGCCCUUUGUGUUUUGUUCAUUAUGAUAUCAUCUCUCUUAAUGUAUGCUUUUAAAAGAAAAAAUGCACACAUUCCUAGUAUCUUCCUUUUUUUGAGACAGGGUCUUGCUAAGUUGCUGAGAAUCUUGCUUAGUUGCUGAGGCUGGCCUUGAACUUGCAAUUCUCCUUUCUCAGCCUUCCAAGUCCCUGGGAUUACAGUCCUGCACCACUGUCCCUGGCUCAUCUUUUACAUUCUUAAGGAAAUGCUGUUGGAUAUAAUUUUACUGAAGUGGGAUGUGUUUGUUAAUACAUUGUAAUGCUGUUAAAAUAAUUUGAAACACUUCCAUCUCAUGUAUCAUCAUUUACUUACAACUUAUUAUGAGAACAAGUUUUUGAUGUUAGGAAGUCAUAUUACAUGAACAUAAAAUCCAAUAUUAUUUUAACACUGGAUAAAGUAGUAAAAUCUACAAAUCAUUGAUUGCCCCAGUUUCAACCCACUUCCCUUUCAGUUAUCUCCUGUCUAAAGUAAGUCAUAAAUGACUCGUUUUCCUCUCUGUGUUCACAUUGGUUGUUACUGUUAAUAUAAAAACAUUUUCAGUUUUCAUAAAGCUACGUGUCAAAUUUUUCAUGAAAUGUUAACGGACAUUACUGAGAGGUCCCAUGAGAUUCAGUUCCUUCUUUGCACAUUACACUUCCUCCUAAGUGCUCAUGGGCUAUGGAAACAGUGACUAACAUGGAGGACUGUUUUAAGAUCCAGUGUGCUUCUGAAUUCCCAGACAUCAAUACAAAAAUAAAUUAUGCUCAUGAAAAGUAUGUAGGACGUGUCUCUGCUAAGUAGAAAGAGGGGGCAGGGAUGUCCUGGGAAAAGAAUCAGAAUAGAAUUGAGAAGAUGGAGUUACUUUUGAAAGAAUGGUUCCCCUGAAGGAGAUCCUCUGACUUUAAUCAGGCAUUUUAAUAUUCAAAAAUCUUAUGUAUUUUGUUUGUUUGAUAUAAAUACAUUGAUUAUACAUAGACAUGAUUCAUUAUUAUUAUCAUUAUUACUAUUAUUAUUAUUAUUAUCACUAUUAUUUUUGUGGUGCUGAGGAUUGAAUCCAGGGCCUUGUGUAUAUGAGACAAACACUAUCAACUGAGCUAUAUCCCUAACCCAAGAUGUUUUAUUAUUUAAGAAAGUCAAUAAUUGUAGCUUAAUUUAUAAUAAUAAGCAAUACCAACUCCUGACAUUUUUCCAUUUACAGGGUACUUUUUUCAUUAUCUCCAUGUGAACUUCAGGGCAGCCUCUUUCUUGUGUCAGAAAGCCGAGGCACAACAGUUGCCUAAACAAGGAUCCAAAGAGAGAUCUUGCUUUAAUCCUAGUACUUUCCCCAUCUCGUCUUUUUCAUGGUCCGUUUAUAAGUAGAGCCAGUGUACCUUUUUAAAGAAGUGUCCAUGUUUAUUGGAAAUAAUAAAGCUUUUGAAGGAGGGCAGCUAUUGUGAGUAUGUCACCCUCUUACUUACAUCUUAACUUUUAAAAUUUCAGCCAUUAACUUUUUCAAAUCCUACUCAUCUCCCUUGUGUUUUAAGGUACUGUCAUCAGUGGGUAGUUGAAUAACAUAGUCAUCUAUUCUGAAUGAUUCCUGUGUUUUCUGAUAUUUAAGUUGCUUUUUACUCAAGCUUGUUCAUUUAUUCACUCAAUAAGCAUCACUAGGCAUAAGAGUAAAUAUAAAAUUUUAAUUAUUUAUGCUAUAUAAUGUUUUUAUUCACAACAAAUUUGCAUAAACUUUGCAUAACUGCCAUUUAAAAUUAACAUUUUAACAAAUUUAAGAACAAAAAUAUACCUAAUCUUUGCUAAGCCUUUAUCCUUUUAUAAUUCUUUCAGCUAGUUUUUCUGAUUCUAAAUAUAUAGUUUCUGGUUAUAGUAGUCUUAAUGUAUUUUGAGACUAAUUUGUUCUUUAGCUACUAGAUUUCACAGCUUUUAGGCUUAAAAUGAUAAUGCUUUUUUUCCUCUUUAAGGUGGGCAGAGUGAGCUUGUGUUGCUUUUGUAAUAAUGAAGAAAUUAAUAUAAAGUCCAAAGUGAAAACCAUCAGCAAUUCUACUGUCAGAAAUAUUGACUGUAUAGUUUACAUUUUUAAAAAAUUCAUUUAUUUUUAAAAUUUCUUUUUUAUUUUGAUUUUUAUUGUUUCUUUUUAGUCAUACAUAACAUUAGGAUUUAUUUUUUAUUUCAUUUUUUUGCGGUGCUGGGGGGGGAUCAAACCCAGGGCCUUGUGUAUAGUGAGGCAAGCACUCUACCAACUGAGCUAUAUUUCUAGCCCCUUAGAAUUUAUUUUUACAUAAUUUAAAAAAGUAUGAAAUAUAAUUUACUUGAAUUCAGUCCCUGGUAUUUCCUCUUUCCCUUCUCUCCUCCCUCUCCCUGUUGUCUUUCCUCUACUGAUCUUCCUGUUAUUUACUCUUAGAUUUUUUUUGGUUAGUGUCUUGUGGAUUUACACGAUAGACUCACUGUGGUACAUUCAUGUAUGUAUGUAGGAAAGUUAGGUCAGAUUCAUUCCUCUGUUCUUCCCUUAUCCCCUCCCUUCUCCUUUCCCUUUAUUUCUUUUUAUUUAUUUCCCUUUAUUCUCUUUCAUCUAGUCCAUUGGUCUUUUUUUCUAUUUUGAUGGAAUCUGCCUCCACCCCCGCCCCCACUUUUCCCUUUCUUUCUCUCUCUCUCUUUCUUUAUUUUGGUCUAGCUUCCACAGAUCAGGGGGAAAAAAAAGAAAUUGACCUUUGACUUUUUCGGAUUGGCUUAUUCCACUUAGCAUGAUAGUCUCCAGUUCCAUACAUUUACCAGAAAAAUGUCAUAAUUUCAUUCAUUAUGGCUCAGUAAUAUUCCAUUGUAUAUAUACACCAUAUUUUCUUUAUCCAUUCCACAACUUAGCUAUUGUGAAUUUCACUGCUAUAAAUAUUGAUAUUCAUAUAUCACUACAGUAUGCUGAUUUUGGAUCUUUUGGAUAUAUAUACCAAGCAGUGGGAUAGCUGAAUCAUAUGGUUCCUUUCCUAGUUUUUUGAGAAAUCUCCAUACUGCUUUUCAGAGUGGUUACACUAAUUUGCAGUCCCACCAACAACUUAUGAGUUUAUCUUUUCCCUCACAUCCUCACUAGCAUUUAUUGUUACUUGUGUUCUUGAUAAUUAUCAUUCUGACUGGAGUGAGAUGAAAUGUCAGUGUAGUUUUGAUUUGCAUUUCCCUCAUUGCUAGAGAUGUUGAACAUUUUUUUUUUCAUAUAUUUGUUGGCCAGUUACAUUUCUUCUUUUGAGAAGUGUCUGUUAAUUAUUUGUGCCUAUUUAUUAAUUGGGCUGUUUGUUUUUUUGGUGUCCAGUUUUGUAAUUCUUUAUUUAUUCUGGAUAUUAAUGCCCUACCAGAGGAGCAGGUGACAAAGAUUUUCUCCCAGUAUGUAGGCUUGUACUUUAAGCUCUUGUUUCUUUUGCUGUGUAGAAGCUUAAUUGUGGUCAAAUAUACAUAAGAUUUAUCCUGUUAACCAUUUUUUUUUUCAGUGCUGCGAUGGAGCCGGGAGCUUCAUCUAUGCUAGGUAAGCACUCUGCCACUAAGCUACAUCCCUACCCGCUUUUUAUUUUUUACUUUGAGACAGGGUUUCACUGAGUUGCCCAGGCAGGCCUUGAACUUGUGAUCCUUCUGCCUCAGCUUCUUGAGUAGCUGGUAUUUUGGGUGUGUGCCACCAAACCUGGUCCUCUUAACCAUUUUUAAGAGCACAGUUCAUUAGUUUUAAGUAUCUUCACAUUGCUGUGCAGCCAAUCUUCAGGACUCUUAUUUUAUAAAACUGAAGUUCUAUGUCAACUAAACAACAAUUUCUCAUUUUUCUCUUUCCCCAGCCUCUGGCAACUGACAUUCUAUUUUUUGUCUCUAUGAAUUUGUCUAUAUUGGGUACCUCAUAUAAAUGGGGUCAUGUCUUUGUGUGACUGAUUUAUUUCAUAAUGGUUUAUCUUAAAACAGCCAUAAUGUCCUCGAGGUUCUUACAUGUCAUAACAUAUACAAAAUUUCUAUUUUAUUUUUUUAUUAUCCGCUCUUUAAAAAACUCCAUAAUAUAGCCAUCUUAUUUCUAUUUAUAAAUUAUUUUUUCUACCCAAUAAUAUGCUGCAGAUGUCUUCACACAUCAAUAGUUAUAUACUCUUUUUAUAUAUAUAUAUAUAUCACCUCCAUUUCUACAAGUUGACCAUCCCUUAUCUGAAAUGCUUGUGACCAAGUGUUUUAAUUUUCAGAUUUUUUUCAGAUUUUGGAAUAUUGCAUAUUUAUAAUGGCAUAUCUUGGGGAUAGAGAAAUCUAGACACAAAAAUUGUUGAUAUUUCAUAUAUACCUCAUUCACAUAGCUUGAAGAUAAAUUUAUACAAUAUUUUUAGUACACCUGCAUUUUGACUUUCAUGAGUCCAGGUGUAAAAUUUUCCAUUCCAGAGUGUCAUUUGUACUCUAAAAAUGCUUUGAAUUUUCAAGCAUUGCAGAUUUCAAAUUUUUAGAUUAUGGAUGCUCAACCUAUACCAAAUGUAGCAUCCCUGUUCUACAGAUGGAGAAACUGAGGCUGAAAGGAGAAUAAUUUUCAAUUGAUAUGGAACAGCACCAGGGACGAAGUCCAGGACUGUUUGAUUCUAGAAUCAGACAUAUGCAGUGUGGUUUAUAUAGGUCAAGAGUGUGAUUAUUGUGGAAAAAUGAAGCAGUUCUGAAGACAAAUUUUGGUGAAAGUGAAAGACUUGACUUUUUGUUUUUGUUGUAGGGAAGCUGCUGCCAUUUGGCAGGCACAAAUAUCUGUCUCUAAAAACAUUCACCAAGUAUUAUACUUUACUAUGUUAAGGCUGGGUUAUUUCUAAGAAAAUAGUAGUUGUCCUGGUCAGAAAGAGAUUUUUCAAUGGCCUUUCAAAAGGUUAAAGAUGGAAGAACAAAGAGGAAAUUAUCUGCCUCUUAUCUGAAGUAUAAUGAUAAGUGAAACUGUCAUCCACGUGAACUUUGGUAGAAAUAUGCUGAAACCCUCCAAUGAGCUGGGUCUGAUAUCAAGAUCAGUGUAGCUCAUUACCAAAUUGUUGUAUUUUAGGACUAUACCUCAGAAAUAAUCUAAACUUUAUAAUUUCAUAAAUGAGGUUCUGUCCUGAAACACCUACCAAGUAGUUAACUGUGCAUUUAGGAUGUAAUCUUUAAUUUCUUUCUAUUUUUGUGGUGCUGGGGAUUGAACCCAGGACCUUGUACAUAUGAGGCAAGCAUUCUACCAACUGAGCUAUAUCUCCAGCCCGAUCUUUAAUUUCUUACUUCUCAAGAAUUCUUUUUCACCCAUGUUAGUGAACAGAAACAGUUUUUUAUUUUUUCAUACCAAACUUACUAUUGCUUGUGUUUCAUACUGUAAAUGUGAGAUAGGGAAGGAACAAGUUAGUGUGGGCUGUCAGGACCAGGUGUUCUCACAGUAUCACAAGAAAUGAAAGGACUUGGAAUGUAAGUUUUCUUGAGUUACCAGUCCUGGUCCAUCAGUUAAUGGAAUCCAUUAAGUUUGUUAGUCUAGUCAAUGGCAGAGAUCUAAUUGAAGAUUAUUACUCUUUCAGAGAAAGUUCAAACCAACUACAGUAACAAUGAUAGAACAGAAGUUUGCAAACUAUUCAUGGGCUGCUCGUUUUUGUAUGGUUUGUAAGCUGGGAAUGUUUUCUAAAUAGUUUUAAAUGGUUAGGAAAAUUCAAAAGGAGAAUAAUAUUUUGUGAUAUGUGAAAAUGAUAAGAAAUUCAGUUUUGGAGACUAUAAAGUUUUAUUAGAACAUUUCUAUAUAUUUAUUCACAUAUAUAUUGCUUAUGGCUACUUUUGGAUUAAAAUAGCAGAGUUGGAUAGUUGUGAUAGAAACUGGAUGGCACCACAAAAUAUAAAAUAUUUACAGUUUGGCCCUUUGAAGAAAGAGUUUUCCAAUUCCUGUAAAAUAGCAAGAAUAAUUUACGUUUUGGAGUAUCAUGGAAAUCUGUGACCUUCUUUGCUUACCUAGAACUCUAGCUGGAUACUACCAUGUUUCUUGAAGAAUUUCUCCACUGUUUUUGUCUCUGGGACACCCACAGUAGUCCAUUCAUGAUUAUUUUUCAUGACUUCCUUUGCUUAUUUUCCAGUGGUUCUUUUUGCCAACCAGGCGAACAGAUCAAAGAGCAUACAGAAAGGUCUUUGGUUUGCCUCAAGAAGCUUUUCUACAGAGGGAUCUGUCUGGCUUGCAUACCUCCCUGUUGGUUAUAGAAACCUGGAUUUGGACUCUUAUAUUCACACUAGAGUAUUGAUUCAAAUGUAUAUGACUUUUACUGUCAGAGUAUAGACUGAGUAAACAUAUUUAUUGUUGCAUUUCUAUUAGUAG